UUAAUAGAUAAUUCGACUUGCGUCAGCGGAUAUAGGGUAUAAUCAGUAUAUACACUGCAAAGACACUUGAUUAUCUGCUCUGCGGCUCAAAUAACUGUCGAUUCUGAAGUCAACAAUAACAAAUGAACAUUCCCCAUGUAACACUUGAACUUAGUGCACGCAUAAACUGACGGAUCGCCAUAAAAUAUAUAUAGUAAAUCAAGGCCUAAUGUGGCGCGUUUGCUUGAUAUUAGCUCUAUUGAGUGGAUAUUUCCUGCUUGUUGAGAGCAAUCAGCGGAACUCUGUAGAGUAUGUAAGUGGUCAUACCCAGACACUGUCUCAAGAAGGACCCGCCGCGAUUAUGUUUGGAAAUCCGCGUCCCACUUACUUUGGUCGGCACGGAUGGCGACAGAUGCAGGGCCAGGACAAAAAGUAUAAAGGCGCGCGCAACAGGCAAAGGAAGCACAGGAAUGGCCCAACUAGAGCGACUACGAAGAAGUCUUUCAAGCAUAAAUUAUUGUAUAAAGUGAAUGUGCAUUAAACGUGGCGCCCCAAAAGUAUGCAAUAAAACGAAAGAACAGAAGAGUAUUAUUAAACUCUAACUGUGAAAUACUGAAUACCCUACUAAACUUA